rnacentral:rRNA from 1 species
UACGUAGGGAGCAAGCGUUGUUCGGAAUUACUGGGCGUAAAGCGCACGUAGGCGGCUUUGUAAGUUAGAGGUGAAAGCCCGGGGCUCAACCCCGGAAUUGCCUUUAAGACUGCAUCGCUAGAAUUGUGGAGAGGUAAGUGGAAUUCCGAGUGUAGAGGUGAAAUUCGUAGAUAUUCGGAAGAACACCAGUGGCGAAGGCGACUUACUGGACACAUAUUGACGCUGAGGUGCGAAAGCGUGGGGAGCAAACAGG